rnacentral:rRNA from 1 species
GCUUAUAUAUGUGUAAAGUUUUUGUUGAUAUAAAUAAUAAUAAAUUCUUUAGUGUUUAUUUUGUUGGGGCGACAUGAAUAAAAUUAUAGUAACUGUUCAUAUAAAAAUCAUUUAUAAAUGAAAAUUUGUUGAUCCUUUUUAGAGAUUUAAGAUCAAGUU